UAUAGCUCAGUCGGUUAGAGCGCAUCCCUGAUAAGGAUGAGGUCGCUGGUUCGAUUCCAGCUA
rnacentral:tRNA from 1 species